UGGAAAGACAGCAAUGUCUGGAGAGGAGAAUCAUAGAAAGAACUCCCCUGUGUUACAUAGGGAUUUCCAGAAAAACAAAACCACAAGCUGGAGACUUGGGAGAGUUAUUAUGUGAUCUGAAAUCUACCAGAGUUAACAUCCAAGAUGAGCAGCUGAAGUCCAAAGGCCAGAAAGCUCCAGUGUCCCAGCUCCAGCACUCAGGUUUCAUAUUUUGAUCAAAGUUAAGGCUCAGUCCAGUUCACUCAGGUCCACACUGCCUGAAAGAAGAAUGCUCAUCAUUUUUGCUGUGAUUUUUG